UACGUAGGGGGCAAGCGUUGUCCGGAUUUAUUGGGCGUAAAGAGCGUGUAGGCGGUUUGGUAGGUCCGCUGUGAAAACUCGAGGCUCAACCUCGAGACGCCGGUGGAAACCAUCAGGCUAGAGUCCGGAAGAGGAGAGUGGAAUUCCUGGUGUAGCGGUGAAAUGCGCAGAUAUCAGGAGGAACACCAAUAGCGAAGGCGGCGCUCUGGGCCGGAACUGACGCUGAGGAGCGAAAGCGUGGGUAGCAAACAGG
rnacentral:rRNA from 1 species